UGCAGUCGAACGAACUCUGGUAAUGAUUGGUGCUUGCAUCAUGAAUUACAUUUGAGUGAGUGGCGAACUGGUGAGUAACACGUGGGAAACCUGCCCAGAAGCGGGGGAUAACACCUGGAAACAGAUGCUAAUACCGCAUAACAACUUGGACCGCAUGGUCCGAGUUUGAAAGAUGGCUUCGGCUAUCACUUUUGGAUGGUCCCGCGGCGUAUUAGCUAGAUGGUGAGGUAACGGCUCACCAUGGCAAUGAUACGUAGCCGACCUGAGAGGGUAAUCGGCCACAUUGGGACUGAGACACGGCCCAAACUCCUACGGGAGGCAGCAGUAGGGAAUCUUCCACAAUGGACGAAAGUCUGAUGGAGCAACGCCGCGUGAGUGAAGAAGGGUUUCGGCUCGUAAAACUCUGUUGUUAAAGAAGAACAUAUCUGAGAGUAACUGUUCAGGUAUUGACGGUAUUUAACCAGAAAGCCACGGCUAACUACGUGCCAGCAGCCGCGGUAAUACGUAGGUGGCAAGCGUUGUCCGGAUUUAUUGGGCGUAAAGCGAGCGCAGGCGGUUUUUUAAGUCUGAUGUGAAAGCCUUCGGCUCAACCGAAGAAGUGCAUCGGAAACUGGGAAACUUGAGUGCAGAAGAGGACAGUGGAACUCCAUGUGUAGCGGUGAAAUGCGUAGAUAUAUGGAAGAACACCAGUGGCGAAGGCGGCUGUCUGGUCUGUAACUGACGCUGAGGCUCGAAAGUAUGGGUAGCAAACAGGAUUAGAUACCCUGGUAGUCCAUACCGUAAACGAUGAAUGCUAAGUGUUGGGAGGGUUUCCGCCCUUCAGUGCUGCAGCUAACGCAUUAAGCAUUCCGCCUGGGGAGUACGGCCGCAAGGCUGAAACUCAAAGGAAUUGACGGGGGCCCGCACAAGCGGUGGAGCAUGUGGUUUAAUUCGAAGCUACGCGAAGAACCUUACCAGGUCUUGACAUACUAUGCAAAUCUAAAAGAUUAGACGUUCCCUUCGGGGACAUGGAUACAGGUGGUGCAUGGUUGUCGUCAGCUC
rnacentral:rRNA from 1 species